rnacentral:tRNA from 3 species
GGGAUUGUAGUUCAAUUGGUU